rnacentral:tRNA from 1 species
GGGGAUGUAGCUCAGUUGGGAGAGCGUCUGCCUUGCACGCAGAAUGUCGCAGGUUCGAUCCCUGUCAUCUCCA